CGUGGAGAGAUAAUGGACAUGAAGAUCGAUGCCGCCGGCUGUGAGGAUCAGCCCCUCGCCAGAGAUCGCCUCUGUGCUCGCGCCAACGAUGAAGUCGAUGUCAUCCAUGAUAUCCGGGUUGCCGCCCUUGCCGAUCGCGAGGAUCUUGCCGUCGCGGAUACCGAUAUCCGCCUUGUAAAUGCCUGUAUAAUCAAUGACCGUGAUGCCACUGAUGAUCGUGUCCGCCACCUUCGGGUUG
rnacentral:sRNA from 1 species